rfam:Danio rerio chromosome 14 genomic contig CTG1748, GRCz11 reference primary assembly.
UCUGGCAGCUAGCUCUCUGGAACCCUCAUAUGGUCACCCACUGAAGCAAAGUAGGGUUGUGCCUGGUCAGUACCUGAAUGGGAGACCACAUAGGAAAGCUAGGUUGCUGCCAGAA